GGUUAAGCGACUAAGCGUACACGGUGGAUGCCCUGGCAGUCAGAGGCGAUGAAGGACGUGCUAAUCUGCGAUAAGCGUCGGUAAGGUGAUAUGAACCGUUAUAACCGGCGAUUUCCGAAUGGGGAAACCCAGUGUGUUUCGACACACUAUCAUUAACUGAAUCCAUAGGUUAAUGAGGCGAACCGGGGGAACUGAAACAUCUAAGUACCCCGAGGAAAAGAAAUCAACCGAGAUUCCCCCAGUAGCGGCGAGCGAACGGGGAGGAGCCCAGAGCCUGAAUCAGUGUGUGUGUUAGUGGAAGCGUCUGGAAAGGCGCGCGAUACAGGGUGACAGCCCCGUACACAAAAAUGCACAUGCUGUGAGCUCGAUGAGUAGGGCGGGACACGUGGUAUCCUGUCUGAAUAUGGGGGGACCAUCCUCCAAGGCUAAAUACUCCUGACUGACCGAUAGUGAACCAGUACCGUGAGGGAAAGGCGAAAAGAACCCCGGCGAGGGGAGUGAAAAAGAACCUGAAACCGUGUACGUACAAGCAGUGGGAGCCUCUUUUAUGGGGUGACUGCGUACCUUUUGUAUAAUGGGUCAGCGACUUAUAUUCUGUAGCAAGGUUAACCGAAUAGGGGAGCCGAAGGGAAACCGAGUCUUAACUGGGCGUUAAGUUGCAGGGUAUAGACCCGAAACCCGGUGAUCUAGCCAUGGGCAGGUUGAAGGUUGGGUAACACUAACUGGAGGACCGAACCGACUAAUGUUGAAAAAUUAGCGGAUGACUUGUGGCUGGGGGUGAAAGGCCAAUCAAACCGGGAGAUAGCUGGUUCUCCCCGAAAGCUAUUUAGGUAGCGCCUCGUGAAUUCAUCUCCGGGGGUAGAGCACUGUUUCGGCAAGGGGGUCAUCCCGACUUACCAACCCGAUGCAAACUGCGAAUACCGGAGAAUGUUAUCACGGGAGACACACGGCGGGUGCUAACGUCCGUCGUGAAGAGGGAAAUAACCCAGACCGCCAGCUAAGGUCCCAAAGUCAUGGUUAAGUGGGAAACGAUGUGGGAAGGCCCAGACAGCCAGGAUGUUGGCUUAGAAGCAGCCAUCAUUUAAAGAAAGCGUAAUAGCUCACUGGUCGAGUCGGCCUGCGCGGAAGAUGUAACGGGGCUAAACCAUGCACCGAAGCUGCGGCAGCGACGCUUAUGCGUUGUUGGGUAGGGGAGCGUUCUGUAAGCCUGCGAAGGUGUACUGUGAGGUAUGCUGGAGGUAUCAGAAGUGCGAAUGCUGACAUAAGUAACGAUAAAGCGGGUGAAAAGCCCGCUCGCCGGAAGACCAAGGGUUCCUGUCCAACGUUAAUCGGGGCAGGGUGAGUCGACCCCUAAGGCGAGGCCGAAAGGCGUAGUCGAUGGGAAACAGGUUAAUAUUCCUGUACUUGGUGUUACUGCGAAGGGGGGACGGAGAAGGCUAUGUUGGCCGGGCGACGGUUGUCCCGGUUUAAGCGUGUAGGCUGGUUUUCCAGGCAAAUCCGGAAAAUCAAGGCUGAGGCGUGAUGACGAGGCACUACGGUGCUGAAGCAACAAAUGCCCUGCUUCCAGGAAAAGCCUCUAAGCAUCAGGUAACAUCAAAUCGUACCCCAAACCGACACAGGUGGUCAGGUAGAGAAUACCAAGGCGCUUGAGAGAACUCGGGUGAAGGAACUAGGCAAAAUGGUGCCGUAACUUCGGGAGAAGGCACGCUGAUAUGUAGGUGAAGUCCCUCGCGGAUGGAGCUGAAAUCAGUCGAAGAUACCAGCUGGCUGCAACUGUUUAUUAAAAACACAGCACUGUGCAAACACGAAAGUGGACGUAUACGGUGUGACGCCUGCCCGGUGCCGGAAGGUUAAUUGAUGGGGUUAGCGCAAGCGAAGCUCUUGAUCGAAGCCCCGGUAAACGGCGGCCGUAACUAUAACGGUCCUAAGGUAGCGAAAUUCCUUGUCGGGUAAGUUCCGACCUGCACGAAUGGCGUAAUGAUGGCCAGGCUGUCUCCACCCGAGACUCAGUGAAAUUGAACUCGCUGUGAAGAUGCAGUGUACCCGCGGCAAGACGGAAAGACCCCGUGAACCUUUACUAUAGCUUGACACUGAACAUUGAGCCUUGAUGUGUAGGAUAGGUGGGAGGCUUUGAAGUGUGGACGCCAGUCUGCAUGGAGCCGACCUUGAAAUACCACCCUUUAAUGUUUGAUGUUCUAACGUUGACCCGUAAUCCGGGUUGCGGACAGUGUCUGGUGGGUAGUUUGACUGGGGCGGUCUCCUCCUAAAGAGUAACGGAGGAGCACGAAGGUUGGCUAAUCCUGGUCGGACAUCAGGAGGUUAGUGCAAUGGCAUAAGCCAGCUUGACUGCGAGCGUGACGGCGCGAGCAGGUGCGAAAGCAGGUCAUAGUGAUCCGGUGGUUCUGAAUGGAAGGGCCAUCGCUCAACGGAUAAAAGGUACUCCGGGGAUAACAGGCUGAUACCGCCCAAGAGUUCAUAUCGACGGCGGUGUUUGGCACCUCGAUGUCGGCUCAUCACAUCCUGGGGCUGAAGUAGGUCCCAAGGGUAUGGCUGUUCGCCAUUUAAAGUGGUACGCGAGCUGGGUUUAGAACGUCGUGAGACAGUUCGGUCCCUAUCUGCCGUGGGCGCUGGAGAACUGAGGGGGGCUGCUCCUAGUACGAGAGGACCGGAGUGGACGCAUCACUGGUGUUCGGGUUGUCAUGCCAAUGGCACUGCCCGGUAGCUAAAUGCGGAAGAGAUAAGUGCUGAAAGCAUCUAAGCACGAAACUUGCCCCGAGAUGAGUUCUCCCUGACUCCUUGAGAGUCCUGAAGGAACGUUGAAGACGACGACGUUGAUAGGCCGGGUGUGUAAGCGCAGCGAUGCGUUGAGCUAACCGGUACUAAUGAACCGUGAGGCUUAACCUUACAACGCCGAAGGUGUUUUG
rnacentral:rRNA from 1 species